GGAGCACAGAUGCCAGUCAGAGUCUGUGAGGACACCCACCUCUGCCCCUUGGUUUGGAAGGGAGCUGCACUGGAGCUCAACAAAGGCCCCACAUUCAGAUUGGCAGCGUGUUCAGAUUGGAUUUCCUAUCUACAGCUGCUCCACACUCCAUUUGCACCAUGUCCAAACAUCUGGCUUUAAUCUAUUAGAAGGCACCAUAACAAACCACCUCUGGCACCUCAUCUUCAAUCAAAAGAGGAAUGACUAUUCUCCAGAGUACCCAGCUCCACAUUGUUAACAUUCUGUCCCUGCCUAUCUUCACCUCACCUUACCUUAUUUUUUGUUUGUAUGAAGAAGUCUUUCC
rnacentral:lncRNA from 1 species